rnacentral:rRNA from 1 species
AUGGUAGGAUAGAGGCCUACCAUGGUGGUAACGGGUAACGGGGUGUUAGGGCACGACACCGGAGAGGGAGCCUGAGAAACGGCUACCACAUCCAAGGAAGGCAGCAGGCGCGCAAAUUACCCAAUCCCGACACGGGGAGGUAGUGACAAUAAAUAACAAUACAGGGUUCUUUGAAUCUUGUAAUUGGAAUGAGUACAAUUUAAAUCUCUUAACGAGGAACAAUUGGAGGGCAAGUCUGGUGCCAGCAGCCGCGGUAAUUCCAGCUCCAAUAGCGUAUAUUAAAGUUGUUGCAGUUAAAAAGCUCGUAGUUGAAUUUCGGGAUCAAUACGUCGGUCGUGCUUUCGGGUACGUACUGGCGUCAUUGGUUUCUCCUUUCUGACGGACCAUGAUGUCAUUAAUUUGGUGUUAUGGGGAGUUAGGACUGUUACUUUGAAAAAAUUAGAGUGUUUAAAGCAGGCAUUAGCUUGAAUACAUUAGCAUGGAAUAAUGAAAUAGGACGUUCGAUCCUAUUUUGUUGGUUUCUAGGAUCAACGUAAUGAUUAAUAGGGAUAGUUGGGGGCAUUAGUAUUCAAUUGUCAGAGGUGAAAUUCUUGGAUUUAUUGAAGACUAACUACUGCGAAAGCAUUUGCCAAGGAUGUUUUCAUUAAUCAAGAACGAAAGUUAGGGGAUCGAAGACGAUCAGAUACCGUCGUAGUCUUAACCAUAAACUAUGCCGACUAGGGAUCGGAUGAUGUUAAUUUUUUAAUGACUCGUUCGGCGCCUUACGGGAAACCAAAGUGUUUGGG